ACUGGAAACACAGGACACACCCAAGCCGAACAGCCUAACUACAGAGAUGUUCUGACAAAUGAUCUAGCCCACUCCUUGCACAGACUUUCUUAGAAUGGACAGGGGUCCUGCCUGCUGAAGAACAAUCUACUUCUUGUCCUCCUUUCCUAAAAAGUAAGAAAACAGAGACAGCAACCAGGCAAAUAGCGAAUUGUGACCACCAAAGGUGAGCAGACAGUUAAGAAGAAUUGAAUGUUUGAUGAACACUGACCCCGUGAAAGGAAGUCUCAAACAGAAAAAUUCAGUAAAUCAGAACAGGAUGCAAGAAUGUGCUGAAUGACUGGUGUCAGAAAUACCAAUAGGUACUGCAUCUAUAAAAAUGCUAGCACACAGUAGAUAUCAAUAUUUUUAUUUUUAAAAUUAAACCUGGAAUGAAUGGGCUGAAAAGCCAAACAGACACUAGCUGAUGAGCUGGGAAGAGCCAGUCAAGGGGUAAACUUCAGCAUGGGACAAGGAGAAAAUAGAGGGGACCCAUUCUUUGAUUCCACGACGAUAGAUUUGGACAACAGAAACCAAGAAUUGUGGAAAAGAUGGUGAGCAAUGAGUCUUAUCUCCUAUACCACAGCAAGGAUUCACAGGGACUCAGUUGGAAGAACAACUAGAACCUCUGGUAUUAUGACCCUAGUAUCAGGGUAUGAGAAGCACACUGGAGAACAUGCAUACAGCUUUCUGCUAAUGUGCCCAGGGAAGCAAUAGGCCCAAGUACCUGAGUCCCUACCACCCACGUGGGAGACUGAGAUGGAGUACUGGACUCCUGGUUUCAGCCUGGCCCAAUUCUGGCUAUUGAGGGCAUUUGGGGAGUGAAUCAGCAGAUAAAAAGAUAUUUGUCUCUUCCUCUCUGUUUCUCUCUGCCUUUUGAAUAAAAUCUUUUAA